GAUGGGUGGCGGCUUAGAUAGCUCUGGCGGCGCGCGGAAGUCCUUCAGUUGGUGAGGUUGGAGGUAAUUUUCUAUUUUUUUGUCACGUUUUUCAGUCGCUGUUAAGCGGAAGACUCCAUUAAAACGGAUGCCUUUGUGGAUCAGGUGUAUGACACCUGUUUCGCCACAUUCGGCUCUCGUGGUAUGAGUCUGUAGUCCCGUAAAGGGCCUGGACUUGACUUGUGCUGCUGGUCACCUUAUGACACCCAGGUACCGGAAAUUGCUUGGCUGGCAGUGAGACAUCGCUUUACAGCAGAGACGAGAUGCCCCCAGGCCGGCGCCGAUGCGGUGUGCGGCGCGUGAAGAGGCCCGCGGAGGACGGCCCCCGGCGGCCGGCGAAGCGGGCCCGCCGGAGCGGAGCCGGCGCUCGGCUCGCCUGGUGGCAGACGGGCACCGUCUACCAGAUCUACCCGCGCUCCUUCUGCGACUCGGACGGCGACGGCGUCGGAGACCU